GGCCGGGCCCCGGAUGUCGGGGGAUUGGAAAAAAUGGCCGUAUUGGUUAGGACCCUUUUCGGUCUUUCAUCGGAGACAUCUGAAGGUCGGAAUGGCGAGGAGAUGGAGUCGAUUGAUAACACGGGAGUUCCUAGAAAAAAAUCUGAAAAUGACAAUGCGAAUUCUCAGAAAAAUGGGCUAAAGACUUUGUU